UGUUAAAAAUUUCAUCAAUUUGUAGGUUAAAAACUAACGUGGUUGAUGAAAUCACCAAAUGGUGACAUGUGACAUACUACGUGCACCUCAUGUUAACGUACAAGGACCAAUUUUUAACAACAAAAAAGGAUGAAAUUUUUGACA
rfam:Gossypium raimondii Chr05_contig_255, whole genome shotgun sequence.